CAUGCAAGUCGAACGAGAAAGCGGGGGCAACUCCGUGAGUAAAGUGGCCCACGGGUGAGUAACACGUGACUAACCUACCUUGGAGUUCGGAAUAACCUCGGGAAACCGGGGCUAAUACCGGAUGAUACCUUUGGGUCAAAGGAGCAAUUCGCUCUGAGAGGGGGUCGCGGCUGAUUAGCUAGUUGGCAGGGUAAUGGCCUACCAAGGCGACGAUCAGUAUCCGGCCUGAGAGGGCGCACGGACACACUGGAACUGAAACACGGUCCAGACUCCUACGGGAGGCAGCAGUGGGGAAUUUUGCACAAUGGGGGAAACCCUGAUGCAGCAACGCCGCGUGGAGGAUGAAGGUCUUUGGAUUGUAAACUCCUUUCGACCGGGACGAUAAUGACGGUACCGGGAGAAGAAGCACCGGCUAACCCUGUGCCAGCAGCCGCGGUAAUACAGAGGGUGCAAGCGUUGUUCGGAAUUAUUGGGCGUAAAGGGCGCGUAGGCGGUGCGGUAAGUCUGCGGUGAAAUCUCCCGGCUCAACUGGGAGGCUGCCGUGGAAACUG
rnacentral:rRNA from 1 species